GUCUCCUGCAAGGACACACACAGGGCACGGCUGCCUCAGGGCUCAGCUUCUGUGGUUUUCAGGUUCUGGGCUGCCUUAGGGUGCAGCUCGGAGCUGCACGUUAAGUGUUGUGGGCUCUCUGCACAGAGCAGGGAGACAAAACAAUUCCUGCUCUAGCUGGGGACCGAGGACAACCACACAAAUCUCAGACCCAAGGGCACAAACAGUGUGGAAUGAAGAGAGGAAAACAAGGAGGAUGGGACUGCAUAACCUAGAGCUGGAAUUGGACAAUUAACCCCAAUAUGCAAAUGGAGCAGAACUGAUCAAACUCUCCUGGUGCGACCUGAGGCUGUUUGCUGUCCCCUGAUGGGCAGCAGGGCUCAGGGCAGCUCUGAGGGCAGUGCCAGGAGCCUGGUGAAGCACUCACCCCUUUGCUGAUGUACCCUGCCAGCAGCAGGGCUCCGAUGAUGAUGAGGAAGGUCCCGAUCAUGAAGAGCACCACAGCCAGCGCGAUGGCCUUGUAGGGGAUUUUGGGUGGGCUCUUCUUGAACUGGAUGGAAAAAGCCAAAUACUGAACAGCUGAACUCGGCACAGAUGGGACCCCACAGCUGGCACAGCUGGCACGGGACAGAAUUCUGCUGCAGAAUUGCCCUCCAGGAGGAGUUCUGCCCAUGGAGGCCCUGCUGAGCCAGCCCCUUCUCCCAGCCUUGUUCCCAGGAAGGCUCUUUGCGAUUUCCAGAGGGGAAGGGCUGAGGGUUUGGCUCCCUCCAGGCUUCGCCCCUGCCUGAGCUGCAGCUGCUCCACCAGAGAUGCAGAGAAGCAGCUGCCUGUGCAAGGCCAAGCUGAGGCUGCCCAUCCUCGUGGUUUCCCAGCUUCCUUGCCCAGUUUUUACCUGCAGGUCGAUGUAUCCAUCGUCGGUGCUGGAGAGCUUGGAAUAUUUCACUUUGCUGCUGGGGAUGCCAGCAGAGAGAUUGGUCCGUGAUGGCAUUGUGCCAGGGGGGCCUGGGCAUCAGCUACAGCCUGGCAACCGGGGCAGGAGGAGAGAAAACAGUGCUGGGAGUCUGAGAGACACACAACUGAAGUUUCUCGAGAGAAACUCCCCUGCCAAGGCUGUGCCACCCAAAACCAGCCCUGUUCCCCUUGGCGAAUUAAAGCUUUUCCCACAGAGGGUCUAAGCAUUUCAUUUGAAGCCUGAAAUACAAAAUGGAUAGAACUGCAACAAUGUCUGGAAUCAAGGUAGAGCCUGUGUCUAAAACCAGAUGGAAAUUUGGAAAUUCCUGGGCAGGGCCCAGGGUAUGACCCAGCUCUCACUCCACCAGGAGCUCCAGAACAAGAUGUCCAAGCUCUGGCUGUUUCUGAACACGACACCAGCAAAUAAACCUAAACCAGAGCUGAACAAAGCAGCUUUUCAACCAGCACGAUAUUUUGCAAGAGAGCAAUUUUGGGAAAGAAAAAACAAACAAAAAACCAACGCAAACCACUAUAAACUGGGAUGAAAUGGAGGUGUCGUGGGGACAGCAGGAGUGACUCAGGCAGCAGGACAAGGGGACAGUGUGAGUGCUGAGGUCACCAAGGCCAGGUGUGCAGAGCAGGCUCCCCGUGCAGGGGGGACACCCUGGGGACAGGGCUCAGAGCCAGCUGCUGCCCCUCGGGGCUGCCCAGGGACCCAUCCUGCCGAGCUCCCCCUGCCUCUGCCCCAGCAGGACCCGGAUUCCCAGGGCACAGGCAGGGAAGGGCUCCCCACACCUCCCAAAGCCUCAAUGGAGCUUUUAUUUCCUGAGAAAGUUGGGAACCAAGGGAACAAAAGCAGAUAUUCCAGCGGUGCCAACAGGAAGGGAUAAAAACUCUGUUUCCACAACACUGUUCAGCAUCAGAGGUGAUGCAUCCACUCAAAAUAUUGUCUCCACUUCAGCUGAAGCCCUUUGUCACUAAUUGCUGGCACAUUCCCCAUCCACCUUCGCUCCUCCUGCUGUAAAAUUGGCUUUUAUAAAAUCCCCUCUGAUCUGAAAUUUCCAUCACUGAACCUGUGGUUUGAACUUUGGGCUUUUGUUUUAGUGGCAAAAAACAGACACGGACCAAACAUUUUCAGCCCCGUGGAUAAUGGAAACACCUGCAGGGUGGCAUUUCCUGCUCCCCACACAUCCUUGUUGACCCACACACCCCUCCACAUGCCCGAGGGCAGAUGUUCAGGAGGAGAAAAAGCCAGAAUAAACCAAGCUUUCUGAAAAAUGCUAGAUUUCCCAA